GUAGUCGUUGCCGAGUGAUUAAGGUGAUGUACUAGAAAUCCAUUGGGUUCUUCCUGAAAGGUUCGCAUCCUACCGACUACG